CUUCCGAGCGACGGGCGCAGGCGCCAAGAGCGGGGUUUGGGCUCCCGGCCUCUGGCCGCUUGGGGCUCGCUACCCCCCCGCCUGCGUCCCGCCUGGGCCUGGCAGGGUCCGGCCGCCCGAGCUGGGCCUGGGGCCGCGACAGAGGGCUCUGGAGACCCUCUGCGGGGGUUCCGAGGUCGUGCGGGGCGCGGAGCCGAGGCCUCCCCUGGGCUGGCAGCUGCUGCGCCCGGGACGCCCCCCGCCCUCCCACAUACCCCGGGCUGGCAAGUGCAGACCUGAAAAUCACCUGGACCUCUCUCGGUGGCCCGAAGCCCGUCCGAGCCCGGGAGGUAGCUCGGGACCCGGCGGGGCAGGGCCCGGAGGCAGCCAUGAUGAUGGACGUGGCCUCUCCGCCCCAGGGUGCUGGGCAGGGGUCUCCGUCCUCGUCCUCCCGGCUGGGUUUCGAGGGACCCCAGGCCUGCUAGGGCCUGUAACACCUCGGAUGGCGCCCGAACACCCAAGCGCCGUGGGUUCUCGGAUAACUGCGGUCCUCCCAGGGGUCAGGUCAGCACGAGUUGACUUCAACGCGAGCUUGCUUUCCUACCAGCCUCACGUUCCGAAGGGUUUUAGCAUCGCACAUUGCCGGGCUCGUGGUUCUUAACCCCCGAAGUUUUCUACCGUUUAACUUCCAUUUGGUUCUCAGCUUUUAGGAAUGAUAGUGGAAUUGUAUGCUAGGGUGGGAAUGCGGUUCUGGAAACGAAGGUCUUUCAGCAGAUUUUUCCCUAAAUCGAAAAUUCCUGCUCGACCGAAAUGCAGAGUCCUAGUCCGCGGAGCCAGAGUGACUUAGAAGAUCUGGGAUGGGCCCUGAACUGCGAUGGAAAUGGCCUGCAUUGAGAGCAACACUGUUCUAAACCCUUCGUUCCCGGAGAGCAGCGGGCCACGUUCACGUCCUGCCCCGUGUCCCCAGCCCCAAGCAAAGCUCCUGACACGUUGCGGGUGCACCUCCAGUAAAAGCAGCUUUACCCCAGAUGAAGACGCAUCCUUUAAGUUCUUUCCCAAGACAAAGCCCUUGUGUGAGCAACUGGUCCUGAGGGCAGAGUGAGACAGGGAGAGAGACCGUAGUCACACAUCCCUGCCAGGUGAUGCGCAGUCAGGCCUCGCAGGCCCUCUCCACCACUCUUCUGGGAGCUGCCUCCCUGUCAAGGCCUGUUCCAGACCUGGCCUCCUCUCCCCCCGGUACCUCCUCCAGGGACAGAUCCUGAGACAGAACGACAGCGGACAGAGUCCAUGGGGCACAGCUCUGAACACUGACAUUCAUGAUGAGUAUUGAAGUAAGGGAUGUUAUAUAUAAUGCUUCCCGACUACUCUUUGUAAAUCAAAAUUUAUUUAAACAGGUUAAUCUUGUAACUACAGUAAGUCAAGCUCUUAGUACACAGAAAUAGAUAAUACGUUUCAAGUGU